rnacentral:rRNA from 1 species
UACGUAGGGUGCAAGCGUUGUCCGGAAUUAUUGGGCGUAAAGAGCUCGUAGGCGGUUUGUCACGUCGGCCGUGAAAACUCGGGGCUCAACCCCGAGCCUGCGGUCGAUACGGGCAGACUAGAGUGCUGUAGGGGAGACUGGAAUUCCUGGUGUAGCGGUGAAAUGCGCAGAUAUCAGGAGGAACACCGGUGGCGAAGGCGGGUCUCUGGGCCGAUACUGACGCUGAGGAGCGAAAGCGUGGGGAGCGAACAGG